rnacentral:rRNA from 1 species
UAACCUACGGGGGGCAGCAGUGGGGGAUAUUGCACAAUGGGGGGAACCCUGAUGCAGCGACGCCGCGUGGGUGAAGAAGCGCCUCGGCGCGUAAAUCCCUGUCAGCAGGGAAGAAAAUGACGGUACCUGAAGAAGAAGACCCGGCUAACUACGAGCCAGCAGCCGCGGCAGUACGUAGGGGGCAAGCGUUAUCGGGAUUUACUGGGUGUAAAGGGGGUGUAGACGGCGAUGCAAGCCAGGAGUGAAAGCCAGGG